rnacentral:rRNA from 1 species
UACGUAGGGUGCAAGCGUUGUCCGGAAUUAUUGGGUUUAAAGGGUGCGUAGGCGGCUUUGUAAGUCAGUGGUGAAAUAUGGCAGCUCAACUGUCAAGGUGCCAUUGAUACUGCAGAGCUUGAGUACAGAUGAGGUAGGCGGAAUUGACGGUGUAGCGGUGAAAUGCUUAGAUAUCGUCAAGAACACCUAUAGCGAAGGCAGCUUACUAGGCUGUAACUGACGCUGAGGCACGAAAAGUGUGGGGAUCAAACAGG